rnacentral:rRNA from 1 species
GAGUUUGAUCCUGGCUCAGGAUGAACGCUAGCGUUAUGCUUUACACAUGCAAGUUGUACGAAAUCCUUAAGUGAUUUUUGUAGCGAACGGGUGAGUAAAAUAUAAGAAUUUACCAUUAGGCAGGGGAUAAUAUUAAAAAUUUGUAAUACCCUAUAUGCUUAAAAAAAAUUUUUUAAGUGAAAAAUUUGAUUUUACCUAAUGAAAAGCUUAUAGCUGAUUAGCUUGUUGGUAAGGUAAAUGCUUACCAAGGCGAGGAUCAGUAGUUGAUUUGAGAGAAUGAUCAACCACAUUGGAACUGAGACACGGUCCAAACUUCGAUAGAAGGCAGCAGUGAGGAAUUUUUUGCAAUGGGCUAACGCCUGACAGAGCAAUAUCGCGUGAGGGAUUUUUUAAGGCUUGCGAGUCGUAAACCUCUUUUUUUAGAAAUGAUUUUGACGUAUACUAAAGAAUAAGCAUCGGCUAACUCCGUGCCAGCAGCCGCGGUAAUAC